rnacentral:rRNA from 1 species
AAUCCUAAUUCUUUUGAUUUUGGAGAAUUGAAGGUGGAAAAUUUAUUUAUACAUGUUAGUGAAAGCGCAUAAGUGAGUUAACAUUGAAAAUAAUCAAUUUAUAUCAGGUUAAUUAAAAUAAAAUUUUAAAUAGCCUAAGACGUAAAGCUUGAAAGCCACGUUUCUAAUGAAACAAAGAGAAAUCUAAGACAGCAGUAAAGAAUACUAUACAAUUAAUUAAAAUUAGAUAUGGUUAAUUUUCUUAGUUUUGUCUAAUUAAGUGCCAGCAGACGCGGUUAAACUUAAGAGACGAAUCUUCAUAACAAAACAGGUUAAAAUAUGUGUAGAUAUUAAAGAAAAAUGUAUUUUUAAAAUUUUUGAAUUGGUUAAAUAAACAAAAAUUUGAAAUUCCAUUAAGAAGUUAAAAUAUAUAAAAUAUUGAAACAUGAAAAAAAGGUAAUUAAAUAGGAUUAGAUACCCUAGUAAACCUUUUAGUAAACAAAGAAAAAAUUCUAUCUGAACAGUACACUUUUAAAAGUGAAAAUCAAAAAUUUUGGCUGUUUAUUUUCUAAUUAGAGGAACAUGUAAUUUAAUUCGAUAAUCCGCGAAAAACCUUACCUAUUUUUGAAUUCCAGGUGCUGCAUGGUCGUCGUCAAUUUAAAUUUAUAAUUUAAAUAUAAUCCUUUAGGGUUAAAGUCAGAUAUUAUGGCCCUUAUAAAUAGGCAUAUUAUGUGUUACAAUUCUUAAAUUAAUUUAAAUUUAAGAAUGGAAAAUUAUAGAAAGAUUAAUUUGAAAGAGAAUUUAAUAGUAAUUGAAGAAAUAAGGCUUCAGUGAAUUAGUUCAAAUAUGAGUACAAAUUGCCCGUCGCCUUUAUCAAUAAUUUUUAAGAAAAUUAAAGAUAGAGUAAGUCGUAACAUAGUGGGAGAAAGGGRACUUUUUCCUGUAGAUUAUU